rnacentral:ncRNA from 1 species
GGAGUGGACGCGAGUGAGAAUGCAGGCAUGAGUAGCGAAUGAGGAGUGGAAACCUCCUCCGCCGGAUGACCAAGGGUUCCUGGGCCAGGUUAAUCCUCCCAGGGUGAGUCGGGACCUAAGGCGAGGCCGACAGGCGUAGUCGAUGGACAACGGGUUGAUAUUCCCGUACCCGCGCAAUCGCGCCCAUGGUGAAUCAGUGAUACUAACCCUCCUGAAGCGUCCUUUCAUCACCUUCGGGUGGUGUCUGGUUGUGGAUGCAGGGGACCUGAUCUGGUAGUAGCCAAGUGAUGGGGUGACGCAGGAAGGUAGCCGUGCCACCUGAUGGAUGGUGGUGUAAGCGUGUAGCCGGCAGUCCAGGUAAAUCCGGGCUGCGAUAGUGGUGAGACGUGAUGCGUACCCGUUGUGGGGAAGUUGGUGAUCCUAUGCUGCCGAGAAAAGCCUCUAGCGAGUGGUUGUGCGGCCCGUACCCCAAACCGACACAGGUGGUCAGGUAGAGAAUACUAAGGCGAUCGGGUGAACUGUGGUUAAGGAACUCGGCAAAAUGCCCCCGUAACUUCGGGAGAAGGGGGGCCGCGUGAUGUCUAUGCCCUUGCGGCGGACGGCGUUGCGUGGCCGCAGAGAAUAGAGGGAAGCGACUGUUUACUAAAAACACAGGUCCGUGCGAAGACGGGUAAGUCGAUGUAUACGGACUGACGCCUGCCCGGUGCUGGAAGGUUAAGAGGACCUGUUAGCGGACUUUGGUUCGCGAAGCGGAGAAUUUAAGCCCCAGUAAACGGCGGUGGUAACUAUAACCAUCCUAAGGUAGCGAAAUUCCUUGUCGGGUAAGUUCCGACCUGCACGAAUGGCGUAACGACUUCCCUGCUGUCUCAACCACAGACCCGGCGAAAUUGCAGUACGAGUAAAGAUGCUCGUUACGCGCGGCAGGACGAAAAGACCCCGGGACCUUCACUAUAGCUUGGUAUUGGUGUUCGGUUCGGUUUGUGUAGGAUAGGUGGGAGACUGUGAAACCUCAACGCCAGUUGGGGUGGAGUCGUUGUUGAAAUACCACUCUGAUCGUAUUGGAUAUCUAACCUUGGCCCGUGAUCCGGGUUGGGGACAGUGCCUGGUGGGUAGUUUAACUGGGGCGGUUGCCUCCCAAAGAGUAACGGAGGCGCCCAAAGGUUCCCUCAGCCUGGUUGGCAAUCAGGUGUUGAGUGUAAGUGCACAAGGGAGCUUGACUGUGAGACUGACAGGUCGAGCAGGUACGAAAGUAGGGACUAGUGAUCCGGCACCGGCUUGUGGAAGCGGUGU